GACGAACCGUGCGAACGUUGUUCGGAUUCACUGGGCUUAAAGGGCGCGUAGGCGGCCAGCACAAGUCAGUUGUGAAAUCUCCGAGCUUAACUCGGAACGGUCAACUGAUACUGUGCGGCUAGAGUGCGGAAGGGGCAACUGGAAUUCUUGGUGUAGCGGUGAAAUGCGUAGAUAUCAAGAGGAACACCUGCGGCGAAGGCGGGUUGCUGGGCCGACACUGACGCUGAGGCGCGAAAGCCAGGGGAGCGAACGGG
rnacentral:rRNA from 1 species